GUAGGGUGCAAGCGUUAAUCGGAAUUACUGGGCGUAAAGCGUGCGCAGGCGGUUGUGCAAGACAGGUGUGAAAUCCCCGGGCUUAACCUGGGAACUGCACUUGUGACUGCACGGCUGGAGUACGGCAGAGGGGGAUGGAAUUCCGCGUGUAGCAGUGAAAUGCGUAGAUAUGCGGAGGAACACCGAUGGCGAAGGCAAUCCCCUGGGCCUGUACUGACGCUCAUGCACGAAAGCGUGGGGAGCAAAC
rnacentral:rRNA from 1 species